CUGGUAUCUUUUCUUACCAAACUUUGGGAGAGACUGAAGAUGAGUUGGAAAAACAAUCCGAGGAACUCACGGAGCUAUGACUAUGACUGGCAGACUAGAGGCUCUGGAAGUCACUAUUGGCAGCCAUAGCAGGGAUCAGACCGUAACACUGUGUAUGUCAAGGGUGCCUGCAAAAAUAAUGGAAGAGAAGGUGCACGAGGAGGUAUUGGUGUCUACUGGGGACCAGACCAAGAUCUAAACAUAAGUAGUACACAUCCUGGGCGACAGACAAACCAAAGAGCAUCAUUAGAAAAACUACAAUGAUGAAAAUUGAGAAAUCUCAACAUCUUGACAACAAAAUAUUUUUUUCAAGGCUGCUGCCAAAGGGAUUGAGCAAGCAAAGGCCCAAAAUAUGGACAAACUCACUGUGUACACAGAU